rnacentral:rRNA from 1 species
AUUGAACGCUGGCGGCAUGCCUUACACAUGCAAGUCGAACGGUAACAGGUUAAGCUGACGAGUGGCGAACGGGUGAGUAAUAUAUCGGAACGUGCCCAGUCGUGGGGGAUAACGUAGCGAAAGCUACGCUAAUACCGCAUACGAUCUACGGAUGAAAGCGGGGAAUCGCAAGACCUCGCGCGAUUGGAGCGGCCGAUAUCAGAUUAGGUUGUUGGUGAGGUAAAAGCUCAACAAGACUGCGAUCUGUAGCUGGUCUGGAAGGACGACCAGCCCCACUGGAGCUGAGACACGGGCCAGACGCCUACGGGAGGCAGCAGUGGGGAAUUUUGGACAAUGGACGCAAGUCUGAUCCAGCAAUGCCGCGUGCAGGACGAAGGCCUUCGGGUUGUAAACUGCUUUUGUACGGAACGAAACGGUGAGCUCUAAUACGGUUUGCUAAUGACGGUACCGUAAGAAUAAGCACCGGCUAACUACGUGCCAGCCGCCGCAGUAA